UAAACGGCUGCGGUAUCCUGACCGUACGAAGGUAGCAUAAUAAGUAGUUUUUUAAUUGGGGACUGGAAUGAAUGGUAUCAUGAGGAAGAGACUGUUUAGGCACAGGUAUUGAAUUUGAUUAUCAAGUUAAAAGGCUUGAGUGUGAUGAAGUGACAAGAAGACCCUAUGAGUUUUAGGAUUAAGUGAAGUAAGAUAUUUGUUAGUGUGUUGGUUGUGCUUUAAUAUAAUCUUUUGACUGGGGCGGUUGGAAAUAUAUCUUUUCUGGUUAUUACUAAAUUGGUAGGAAUGUUUGGAGUAAAUAUCCUAAUUGGAAAGCAUGAUAAAUUACCUUAGGGAUAACAGCAUAAUCUUUCUUGAGAGACCAUAUUGACAGAAAGGUUUGUGACCUCGAUGUUGGAUUUGAAUAACUAUAAGGAGCAGAAUUUUUAUAAGUUGGUUUGUUCAACCAUUAAAUUUCAACAUGAUUUGAG
rnacentral:rRNA from 1 species